CGAGGGGUGUAAAUGCCGAGCUGUUCCGUCCUGACGUCACGUGUCAUGUUCCUUACACGAAGGUCAAAGGGUAUUACUGUCGUUCUAACAUUUUUUUUCUGCCGGAUAAAUAUACAAAUCAGGAAAGUGUUCAUUAAAUAAAGCAUUAAAUACGCUAGCUAGCGUUACAGCAAAGGGUUAUGUUCUGCUACAUUACUAGCUAGCUAAUGUCAUACAAUAAGGUAUUAAAUAAGCUAGCUAGCAUUGUAGCAAAGGGUUAUGUUCUGCUGCAUUACUAGCUAGCUAAUGUCAUACAAUAAGGUAUUAAAUAAGCUAGCUAGCAUUGUAGCAAAGGGUUAUGUUCUGCUGCAUUACUAGCUAGCUAAUGUCAUACAAUAAGGUAUUAAAUAAACUAGCUAGCAUUGCAGCAAAGGGUUAUGUUCUGCUGCAUUACUAGCUAGCUAAUGUCAUACAAUAAG
ensembl:lncRNA